AAAGUCGAGUCGGUUUAAGGAUACGUUCGUUGGGUAGGGGAGCGUUCUGUAAGCCUGUGAAGGUGUGUCGUGAGGCAUGCUGGAGGUAUCAGAAGUGCGAAUGCUGACAUAAGUAACGAUAAAGCGGGUGAAAAGCCCGCUCGCCGGAAGACCAAGGGUUCCUGUCCAACGUUAAUCGGGGCAGGGUGAGUCGACCCCUAAGGCGAGGCCGAAAGGCGUAGUCGAUGGGAAACGGGUUAAUAUUCCCGUACUUGGUGUUACUGCGAAGGGGGGACGGAGAAGGCUAUGUUGGCCGGGCGACGGUUGUCCCGGUUUAAGCGUGUAGGUGUGUGUUCCAGGUAAAUCCGGUUCACUUUAACACUGAGGCGUGAUGACGAGGCACUACGGUGCUGAAGCAACAAAUGCCCUGCUUCCAGGAAAAGCCUCUAAGCAUCAGGUAACAUCAAAUCGUACCCCAAACCGACACAGGUGGUCAGGUAGAGAAUACCAAGGCGCUUGAGAGAACUCGGGUGAAGGAACUAGGCAAAAUGGUGCCGUAACUUCGGGAGAAGGCACGCUGACAUGUAGGUGAAGUGAUUUACUCAUGGAGCUGAAGUCAGUCGAAGAUACCAGCUGGCUGCAACUGUUUAUUAAAAACACAGCACUGUGCAAACACGAAAGUGGACGUAUACGGUGUGACGCCUGCCCGGUGCCGGAAGGUUAAUUGAUGGGGUCAGCGCAAGCGAAGCUCCUGAUCGAAGCCCCGGUAAACGGCGGCCGUAACUAUAACGGUCCUAAGGUAGCGAAAUUCCUUGUCGGGUAAGUUCCGACCUGCACGAAUGGCGUAAUGAUGGCCAGGCUGUCUCCACCCGAGACUCAGUGAAAUUGAACUCGCUGUGAAGAUGCAGUGUACCCGCGGCAAGACGGAAAGACCCCGUGAACCUUUACUAUAGCUUGACACUGAACAUUGAGCCUUGAUGUGUAG
rnacentral:rRNA from 1 species